GUUGCGUUGCCUAGCAACAAGCUAGCGGCACGCCAGACUCGCGUGCAUACGUCAUGCGCCAGACAAGCCGCAGGAGUGAGCGAGGACGGUCGUACGUGCGAACCUCGCGUGCUCGGCGACCCGUCUGUUUUGGAUAUAGCCCAUAUUUUGGGGGCUCCCGGCCUUCUCUAUGCUUCUCUUGCGUAUCGUCUGCAUUUCGACACGGCACCACUGCACUACUGGGCUACGGCAAGCUGAUGGCAUCCGGUGGAGCAUCGUACGGCAACGACUGCUGCUUACCUGGUACCACAACUUCAGAUGAAUGCAGAAGAAGCCCGGAACGAGCAUUUAUAUAGAGCAAAAUAAACAUUUCAUCAUUUCAGAA
rnacentral:lncRNA from 1 species